GCUGAGAGAGAGAGAGAGAGAGAGAGAGAGACAGAGAGGCGUGAAAGGAGGCUUUAGGUGGUUCAGGGUCGCCUCUUUUUACGGCAUUUUAUGGGGUGGAAUAACCGAAACCAGGUGUUUGUUUGACUAAAUACUGGGAACAGAAGUUAGCUCGCAGCUUGUUUGAAAUAAACCCAUGAUUUACCCGCAAUCUCUUAUGGUCAUAUGGUGCGCCAUUGUUUUAGCUUGCUUUCUCAAUUUAUAUUUUCUCUCCACAGUAAAUUCUGUCCUUUUAAAUCGGCAAUAAACACUGUUACAAUCAAGGCCUGACAUAUGCUCUAGCAGUGUUUCCAGUUUUUUAUUACUCAUUCAUUUUGUGCUUUUAAAACUGAUAGCUGGGUGUUUUAGUGGCCCAGUGACGCCCACUUAUUUUCCCGUACCAUUUCAACAGAGCAGCUACACCUACACUUAUCUACAGAGAACUCAGAUCUGCCAUAAGAGAGGCAUCAUUCAAGGUAUUGGUUUCACCUCCAAUAAUUGAUUGCUCUCUUUUAGGGCCAUUAAAAAAAAGAACUCACCUUUCCCAUCACUUGAUAUCCUGGUGUCUGUUGGUAAACCUCACUGUGAGUUUGUGUAUUUUGUGGUUGUAUAAAGGCAAGCAAUGACAAAUCAGAUUUUUCAGCUUAUCAAAGUUGUUGCUGGUGGUAAUGACAACUUCCCUGUAAUAAAAGAGUUCUUAUAAAUCA